rnacentral:rRNA from 1 species
ACUCCUACGGGAGGCAGCAGUGGGGAAUUUUGGACAAUGGGCGAAAGCCUGAUCCAGCAAUGCCGCGUGAGUGAAGAAGGCCUUCGGGUUGUAAAGCUCUUUUGUCAGGGAAGAAACGGUGAGAGCUAAUAUCUUUUGCUAAUGACGGUACCUGAAGAAUAAGCACCGGCUAACUACGUGCCAGCAGCCGCGGUAAUACGUAGGGUGCAAGCGUUAAUCGGAAUUACUGGGCGUAAAGCGUGCGCAGGCGGUUUUGUAAGUCUGAUGUGAAAUCCCCGGGCUCAACCUGGGAAUUGCAUUGGAGACUGCAAGGCUAGAAUCUGGCAGAGGGGGGUAGAAUUCCACGUGUAGCAGUGAAAUGCGUAGAUAUGUGGAGGAACACCGAUGGCGAAGGCAGCCCCCUGGGUCAAGAUUGACGCUCAUGCACGAAAGCGUGGGGAGCAAACAGGAUUAGAAACCCGAGUAGUCCCA